GCCUAACACAUGCAAGUCGAGCGAAGCGGCAGCUGUAGCAAUACAGUAUGUGCUUAGCGGCAGACGGGUGAGUAACACGUAGACAAUCUACCUUCUAGAGGGGGAUAGCCCGCCGAAAGGCGGGGUAAUACCGCGUAAGAUCAAAACCCGGCAUCGGGAGUUGAUGGAAUAUCCGCAAGGAUAGCUAGAAGAGGAGUCUGCGGCCUAUCAGCUAGUUGGCGGGGUAAUGGCCCACCAAGGCAACGACGGGUAUCCGACCUGAAAGGGUGACCGGACACACUGACACUGAGACACGGGUCAGACUCCUACGGGAGGCAGCAGUGAGNAAUUUUGGACAAUGGGGGAAACCCUGAUCCAGCGACGCCGCGUGAAGGAUGAAGGUCUUCGGAUUGUAAACUUCUUUUACCUGGGAAUAAGAACCCGGUAGAAAUAUCGGGNAGUGAAUGUACCAGGCGAAUAAGCCACGGCUAACUUCGUGCCAGCAGCCGCNGNNAUACGAAGGUGGCAAGCGUUACUCGGAAUUACUAGNCGUAAAGGGCAGGUAGGCGGUUCGNNNAGUCUGUUGUGAAGGCUCCUUGCUUAACGGGGAGAGGCCAACAGAUACUGCCGAGCUUGAGUAUAGGAGAGGGUACUGGAAUUCCCGNNGNAGCNGUGAAAUGCGCAGAGNUCGGGAGGAACNCCAAUNNNGAAAGCANGUACCUGGACUAUUACUGACGCUCAGCUGCNAAAGCUAGGGGAGCAAACAGGAUUAGAUNCCCUGGUANUCNUAGCCGUAAACGAUGCACAUUAGGCGUGAGGGGUAUCGACCCCCUUCGUGCNGANGCAAACGCAUUAAAUGUGCCGCCUGGGGAGUACGGCCGCANGGUUGAAACUCAAAGGAAUUGACGGGGGCCCGCACAAGCGGUGGAGCAUGUGGUUUAAUUCGACGCAACGCGAACAACCUUACCUGGGCUUGAACUACUAGUAGUAGUACUUUGGAAACAGAGGACGAACCGUAAAGUCGGUUGCUAGCAGAGGUGCUGCAUGGCUGUCGUCAGCUCGUGUCGUGAGAUGUUGGGUUAAGUCCCGCAACGAGCGCAACCCCUACCCUAUGUUGCUAAGUCUGUAAUGGACAGCACUCUUAGGGAACCGCCUCGGACAACGGGGAGGAAGGUGGGGAUGACGUCAAGUCACCAUGGCCUUUAUGUCCAGGGCCACACACGUGCUACAAUGGCCGGUACAACGAGCAGCAAAUCCGCAAGGAGGAGCAAAUCUCUUAAAGCCGGCCCCAGUUCAGAUUGUGGGCUGCAAUUCGCCCACAUGAAGGUGGAAUCGCUAGUAAUCGGAGAUCAGCUGGCUCCGGUGAAUACGUUCCCGGGCCUUGUACACACCGCCCGUCACACCACGAAAGUUGGGUGCAACCAAAAACGGCGAUUCAACCGCAAGGAGAUAGCCGUCCAAGUUGUGACCAAUGAUUGGGGUGAAGUCGUAACAAGGUAGCCGUACGGGAACGUGCGNNNGGAUCACCUCCUU
rnacentral:rRNA from 1 species